UAGGGAAUCUUCCGCAAUGGGCGAAAGCCUGACGGAGCAACGCCGCGUGAGUGAAGAAGGAUUUCGGUUCGUAAAGCUCUGUUGUUAGGGAAGAAUGAUUAUGUAGUAACUAUACAUAGUAGAGACGGUACCUAACCAGAAAGCCACGGCUAACUACGUGCCAGCAGCCGCGGUAAUACGUAGGUGGCAAGCGUUGUCCGGAAUUAUUGGGCGUAAAGCGCGCGCAGGUGGUUUAAUAAGUCUGAUGUGAAAGCCUACGGCUCAACCGUGGAGGGUCAUUGGAAACUGUUAAACUUGAGUGCAGGAGAGAAAAGUGGAAUUCCUAGUGUAGCGGUGAAAUGCGUAGAGAUUAGGAGGAACACCAGUGGCGAAGGCGGCUUUUUGGCCUGUAACUGACACUGAGGCGCGAAAGCGUGGGGAGCAAACAGGAUUAGAUACCCUGGUAGUCCACGCCGUAAACGAUGAGUGCUAAGUGUUGGUCUCAUAAGAGAUCAGUGCUGCAGCUAACGCAUUAAGCACUCCGCCUGGGGAGUACGACCGCAAGGUUG
rnacentral:rRNA from 1 species